GUCUAUUACACAAUAGUAAGGAUGCAAUAAUCUAAUAAUAAGCAUCUUCCAAUUAUUCAGGCUGUUGCAGAAUUUUGAAUUACUCUGUAGAGCUCAUAUCACACCCAUAGUAUAGAAUAUGGACCAUAAUGAAGAGCGAUUUUUAGGGUGACCCAAUACUAUGUAUGCUGUGAAGUUUCAGAUAUUUUGAAGAUGUUUUACUUAUUGCG